CCCCUAGAUGUUCUGGGCCGCACGCGCGCUACACUGAACAGUUCAACAAGUCUUAACCUUGGCCGAUAGGUCUGGGUAAUCUUUGAACGCUGUUCGUGAUUGGGAUAGACCUUUGCAAUUAUGGGUCUUCAACGAGGAAUUCCUAGUAAACGCAAGUCAUCAGCUUGCAUUGAUUACGUCCCUGCCCUUUGUACACACCGCCCGUCGCACCUACCGAUUGAAUGGUCCGGUGAAGGCUUCGGAGGCGGCUUUCUCAAUGUUUAUUCGGCGAGACUGCUGCCAAAGUUGAAUGAACCUUACCAUUUAGAGGAAGGUGAAGUCGUAACA
rnacentral:rRNA from 1 species